rnacentral:ncRNA from 1 species
AGGUUAUCAAGAGUGAACGAGAGUACUGGCUCAGCGACUUCACAGCAACCUGCCUAAAAAGGUAAGGUGCUCCAACCAGCAAAGCACAGGCUUUGGAUGAUAACGA